AGACUGCCGGUGACAAACCGGAGGAAGUGGGAUGACGUCAAGUCCUCAUGGCCCUUAUAGGUGGGGCUACACACGUCAUACAAUGGAUGGUACAAAGGGUCGCCAACCCGCGAGGGGGAGCCAAUCCCAUAAAGCCAUUCGUAGUCCGGAUCGCAGUCUGCAACUCGACUGCGUGAAGUCGGAAUCGCUAGUAAUCGUGGAUCAGAAUGUCACGGUGAAUACGUUCCCGGGUCUU
rnacentral:rRNA from 1 species